rnacentral:rRNA from 1 species
GACGAACGCUGGCGGCGUGCUUAACACAUGCAAGUCGAACGGAAAGGCCCUGCUUUUGUGGGGUGCUCGAGUGGCGAACGGGUGAGUAACACGUGAGUAACCUGCCCUUGACUUUGGGAUAACUUCAGGAAACUGGGGCUAAUACCGGAUAGGAGCUCCUGCUGCAUGGUGGGGGUUGGAAAGUUUCGGCGGUUGGGGCUGGACUCGCGGCUUAUCAGCUUGUUGGUGGGGUAGUGGCUUACCAAGGCUUUGACGGGUAGCCGGCCUGAGAGGGUGACCGGCCACAUUGGGACUGAGAUACGGCCCAGACUCCUACGGGAGGCAGCAGUGGGGAACAUUGCACAAUGGGCGGAAGCCUGAUGCAGCAACGCCGCGUGCGGGAUGACGGCCUUCGGGUUGUAAACCGCUUUCGCCUGUGACGAAGCGUGAGUGACGGUAAUGGGUAAAGAAGCACCGGCUAACUACGUG